UCCACGCCGUAAACGAUGGGCACUAGGUGUUGGAGCCGACUUGUCGGCUUCAGUGCCGGAGCAAACGCAUUAAGUGCCCCGCCUGGGGAGUACGCUCGCAAGGGUGAAACUCAAAGGAAUUGACGGGGGCCCGCACAAGCGGUGGAGCAUGUGGUUUAAUUCGAUGCAACGCGAAGAACCUUACCGGGGUUUGACAUGGCGAUGACGUCACGGGAGACCGUGAUUCCCUUCGG
rnacentral:rRNA from 1 species